rnacentral:piRNA from 1 species
UGCUGUCUCUCAAUACCUUAUCCAGGUGGA